AAAUUGAAGAGUUUGAUCAUGGCUCAGAUUGAACGCUGGCGGCAGGCCUAACACAUGCAAGUCGAACGGUAACAGGAAGCAGCUUGCUGCUUUGCUGACGAGUGGCGGACGGGUGAGUAAUGUCUGGGAAACUGCCUGAUGGAGGGGGAUAACUACUGGAAACGGUGGCUAAUACCGCAUAACGUCGCAAGACCAAAGAGGGGGACCUUCGGGCCUCUUGCCAUCAGAUGUGCCCAGAUGGGAUUAGCUAGUUGGUGAGGUAACGGCUCACCAAGGCGACGAUCCCUAGCUGGUCUGAGAGGAUGACCAGCCACACUGGAACUGAGACACGGUCCAGACUCCUACGGGAGGCAGCAGUGGGGAAUAUUGCACAAUGGGCGCAAGCCUGAUGCAGCCAUGCCGCGUGUAUGAAGAAGGCCUUAGGGUUGUAAAGUACUUUCAGCGGGGAGGAAGGUGUUGUGGUUAAUAACCGCAGCAAUUGACGUUACCCGCAGAAGAAGCACCGGCUAACUCCGUGCCAGCAGCCGCGGUAAUACGGAGGGUGCAAGCGUUAAUCGGAAUUACUGGGCGUAAAGCGCACGCAGGCGGUCUGUCAAGUCGGAUGUGAAAUCCCCGGGCUCAACCUGGGAACUGCAUUCGAAACUGGCAGGCUUGAGUCUUGUAGAGGGGGGUAGAAUUCCAGGUGUAGCGGUGAAAUGCGUAGAGAUCUGGAGGAAUACCGGUGGCGAAGGCGGCCCCCUGGACAAAGACUGACGCUCAGGUGCGAAAGCGUGGGGAGCAAACAGGAUUAGAUACCCUGGUAGUCCACGCCGUAAACGAUGUCUACUUGGAGGUUGUGCCCUUGAGGCGUGGCUUCCGGAGCUAACGCGUUAAGUAGACCGCCUGGGGAGUACGGCCGCAAGGUUAAAACUCAAAUGAAUUGACGGGGGCCCGCACAAGCGGUGGAGCAUGUGGUUUAAUUCGAUGCAACGCGAAGAACCUUACCUGGUCUUGACAUCCACAGAACUUUCCAGAGAUGGAUUGGUGCCUUCGGGAACUGUGAGACAGGUGCUGCAUGGCUGUCGUCAGCUCGUGUUGUGAAAUGUUGGGUUAAGUCCCGCAACGAGCGCAAC
rnacentral:rRNA from 1 species